GACGAACGCUGGCGGCGUGCCUAAUACAUGCAAGUCGAACGAACCGCGACUAAGUGCUUGCACUAAGUCAAGGUGAGUGGCGAACGGGUGAGUAACACGUGGGUAACCUACCUCAUAGUGGGGGAUAACAGUCGGAAACGACUGCUAAUACCGCAUAGGACAUAGGAUCACAUGAUCCAGUGAGGAAAGGUGGCGCAAGCUAUCGCUAAGAAAUGGACCCGCGGUGCAUUAGCUAGUUGGUAGGGUAAAGGCCUACCAAGGCGAUGAUGCAUAGCCGACCUGAGAGGGUGAUCGGCCACAUUGGGACUGAGACACGGCCCAAACUCCUACGGGAGGCAGCAGUAGGGAAUCUUCCGCAAUGGACGCAAGUCUGACGGAGCAACGCCGCGUGAGUGAAGAAGGUCUUCGGAUCGUAAAGCUCUGUUGUUAGAGAAGAACAGCGCAUAGAGUAACUGCUAUGCGUGUGACGGUAUCUAACCAGAAAGCCACGGCUAACUACGUG
rnacentral:rRNA from 1 species